ACAUGAACAGAUGAAGAUAACACAAAUGUAUAAUUUUGUAUCUGUGCCUUCAAAUAAAUCAGAAAUGAAUCACCAACUGUGUGCUGCUUGGAGACAUAAUGUCAGUGGUUGAAUCUGCUUUGGCUUCGUUUGGGACUACUUUCGCCUUCAGAGCAAAACAGACUGGCCUAAAAAGUGCUGUGGGUCAAACCCCAAAAGGGCAGGGAGGCAGAUUUCCACACGUGUGCGGUGGUGGUGCUAUCUUAUCACCGUGUGCAGUGUUGUGGCGUGUCGAUCACCAACCAAAAUCUCACUGGGUAUCGAGUGUGUGUGAAUGGGUGCACUGAUAGUGUGUGAUAAUUGCAUUUUGUGAUUCCUUAGGAGUUGAUUCCAGCUGACCACAGCCCUGUAAAUCUUUACUCUUUUUGUGUGAUCAGCAAGAAGUAACCGAUUAUUAAGUGUGCCAGCGCUCGUG